rnacentral:rRNA from 1 species
CCCCCGUCAGGACGAUCGCUGGCGGCGUGCCUAAUACAUGCAAGUCGAACGCUUUUUCUUUCACCGGAGCUUGCUCCACCGAAAGAAAAGGAGUGGCGAACGGGUGAGUAACACGUGGGUAACCUGCCCAUCAGAAGGGGAUAACACUUGGAAACAGGUGCUAAUACCGUAUAACAAUCGAAACCGCAUGGUUUCGGUUUGAAAGGCGCUUUUGCGUCACUGAUGGAUGGACCCGCGGUGCAUUAGCUAGUUGGUGAGGUAACGGCUCACCAAGGCAACGAUGCAUAGCCGACCUGAGAGGGUGAUCGGCCACAUUGGGACUGAGACACGGCCCAAACUCCUACGGGAGGCAGCAGUAGGGAAUCUUCGGCAAUGGACGCAAGUCUGACCGAGCAACGCCGCGUGAGUGAAGAAGGUUUUCGGAUCGUAAAACUCUGUUGUUAGAGAAGAACAAGGAUGAGAGUAGAAUGUUCAUCCCUUGACGGUAUCUAACCAGAAAGCCACGGCUAACUACGUGCCAGCAGCCGCGGUAAUACGUAGGUGGCAAGCGUUGUCCGGAUUUAUUGGGCGUAAAGCGAGCGCAGGCGGUUUCUUAAGUCUGAUGUGAAAGCCCCCGGCUCAACCGGGGAGGGUCAUUGGAAACUGGGAAACUUGAGUGCAGAAGAGGAGAG